UACGGAGGAUGCAAGCGUUAUCCGGAAUGAUUGGGCGUAAAGCGUCCGCAGGUGGCUAUGUAAGUCUGCUGUUAAAGAGUCUAGCUCAACUAGAUAAGAGCAGUGGAAACUACAAGGCUAGAGUACGUUCGGGGCAGAGGGAAUUGCUGGUGUAGCGGUGAAAUGCGUAGAGAUCAGGAAGAACACCAGUGGCGAAGGCGCUCUGCUAGGCCGUAACUGACACUGAGGGACGAAAGCUAGGGGAGCGAAUGGG
rnacentral:rRNA from 1 species